CACAGGUUCUGUGUAAUACUCAAAAUGGAAGGGGCAGGAAUAGGGAGGACUGUUUUCUAGAUUGGGAACAAACUCAUAUUCAGUGAGUGUUCUUUACAUUUCAGAUUUCCAAAGAUGAACCGUGGCAGGCUGGUGACGUGGAUUCAUGCGGAUCCUGUUCAACCAACCCUCCAGAGAUUUCCAAAGAUGAACUGCGUCAGGCUGGUGAUGUGGAUGUAUGCGGAUCCUGCUCAACCAACCCUCCAGAGGUCUGUCCAGAACAAAGUUCAAGUAAGGUGACAUCAUAAAAAGAGAAGUAUGUUCCUGAUUCCGUAUAUGAUUCAAACUU